rnacentral:rRNA from 1 species
ACGUAGGGUGCGAGCGUUAAUCGGAAUUACUGGGCGUAAAGCGUGCGCAGGUGGUUGUGUAAGUCAGAGGUGAAAUCCCCGGGCUCAACCUGGGAACUGCCUUUGAGACUGCACGGCUAGAGGAUAGCAGAGGGGGGUGGAAUUCCACGUGUAGCGGUGAAAUGCGUAGAGAUGUGGAGGAACACCGAUGGCGAAGGCAGCCCCCUGGGCUAUUACUGACACUCAUGCGCGAAAGCGUGGGGAGCAAACAG